rnacentral:rRNA from 1 species
GACAGAGGUCCCGAGCGUUAGGCGGAAUCACUGGGCUUAAAGCGUGUGUAGGCGGAUUUGUAAGUACCUUGUGAAAUCCCACAGCUUAACUGUGGAACUGCUUGGUAUACUGCUUAUCUUGGGCCACUUAGGGGUUACCGGAACAAACGGUGGAGCGGUGAAAUGCGUAGAUAUCGUUUGGAACGCCAAUGGUGAAAACAGGUAACUGGGAGUGUGCCGACGCUGAGACACGAAAGCCAGGGGAGCGAACGGGG